rnacentral:rRNA from 1 species
GGGCCCGCACAAGCGGUGGAGCAUGUGGUUUAAUUCGAUGAUACGCGAGGAACCUUACCAGGGCUUAAAUGUAGUAUGACCGGUCUGGAAACAGACCUUCUCUUCGGAGCAGAUUACAAGGUGCUGCAUGGUUGUCGUCAGCUCGUGCCGUGAGGUGUUAGGUUAAGUCCUGCAACGAGCGCAACCCCUAUUCUUAGUUGCCAGCGGUUCGGCCGGGGACUCUAAGAAGACUGCCAGCGCAAGCUGAGAGGAAGUGGGGAUGACGUCAAAUCAUCACGGCCCUUACGUCCUGGGGCUACACACGUGCUACAAUGGUAUAGACAGAGGGCAGCCACCUGGCGACAGGGAGCGAGGACAAGCAAAUCCAUAA